CUUAGUCAAUAAAUGCCGCAAAUUUACGUUUAGUUAAGAUAAAAAUAAUUUUGUUUAUUGGUAGCAUAAUAAAACCAGUUACUGUUAUUUAUUGCAUGUCUUUUUUACUUUUUUUAACAUGCUGCUUUUGAAAUACUUCCUCUUAGAUAUGACUUAAUUGAGAAUUAGUACAGGGAGUAUUUAUAAAACUUAGUAAUUACUGAGCUCUUGCGUAUUUUUUAAUUCUCUAAUUGAUAUUGAACAUUUAUUCUUUAUAUUUUACAAGUUGCAUGCUACUAAAGUUAUAAUUCUUUAAGUUAUUUAACUAUAGUUGUUCCUUGAUUGUUCAAACAUUGCAAUAAAUAAAAUCUUUUUACUUUCAAGUGUUUUACUUUAAGGAUCGUCCAUAUACUACGUAACGCGAAGUUAAACUUAUAGACAAAAGACAUAUCUUAAAAACCGUGUUUUUCUCAUGGUCAACUAUAUGUUGCAUGUUCAAGAAUUAGAGCAUUUAAUAGUUUGUUUCUCAAAAUUGAAAAACAUCCUAUUCAAGGUAUGGUAAGUGAAAAGGGUUAUACAAAUAAUGUUAUAUUAUCUAAUGUUCUUAAUUUAUAGUCUUUAGGUUUUCAUUUCUAAAAUUUACUGUUAAAAGUUGUGAUCACAUUUUGGUGUUACUUGGUAUUAUGUUGAGCAAGUUUGAUAACCUUGCCAGCCAAGCGGUGUACUUAUAGCAGAGGUGUGACUUGGCAGCAUAUAGUGCCAGUUGGUGUUACUGCUUUAGAGGCAGCUUGGCUUACCUUCCCGUUGGUGUUGAUCGUUAAAAAUAAUAAAGUUUUAUUAUUG